CCUACGGGAGGCAGCAGUAGGGAAUUUUCGUCAAUGGGCGCAAGCCUGAACGAGCGAUGCCGCGUGAGUGAAGAAGGCCUUCGGGUCGUAAAGCUCUGUUGCGGGGGAAAAAAGGCAGCAUCCGGAAAUGGGUGCUGACUGAUGGUGCCCCGCCAGAAAGUCACGGCUAACUACGGGCCAGCAGCCGCGGUAAUACGUAGGUGGCGGGCGUUAUCCGGAUGGAUUGGGGGUAAAGGGUGCGCAGGCGGUCCUGCAAGUCUGGAGUGAAACGCAUGGGCUCAACUCAUGCAUGGCUUUGGAAACUGGAGGACUGGAGAGCAGGAGAGGGCGGUGGAACUCCAUGUGUAGCGGUAAAAUGCGUAGAUAUAUGGAAGAACACCAGUGGCGAAGGCGGCCGCCUGGCCUGUUGCUGACGCUGAGGCACGAAAGCGUGGGGAGCAAAUAGGAUUAGAUACCCUUGUAGUC
rnacentral:rRNA from 1 species